UACGGGGGGGGCAAGCGUUGUUCGGAAUUACUGGGCGUAAAGGGCUCGUAGGUGGCCAACUAAGUCGGACGUGAAAUCCCUCGGCUUAACCGGGGAACUGCGUCCGAUACUGGUUGGCUUGAGUUUGGGAGAGGGAUGUGGAAUUCCAGGUGUAGCGGUGAAAUGCGUAGAUAUGUGGAGGAACACCGAUGGCGAAGGCAGCCCCCUGGGUUAACACUGACGCUCAUGCACGAAAGCGUGGGGAGCAAACAGG
rnacentral:rRNA from 1 species